rnacentral:rRNA from 1 species
UACGUAGGGUGCAAGCGUUGUCCGGAAUUAUUGGGCGUAAAGAGCUCGUAGGCGGUCUGUCGCGUCUGCUGUGAAAACUCAGGGCUUAACCCUGAGCUUGCAGUGGGUACGGGCAGACUAGAGUGCGGUAGGGGAGAUCGGAAUUCCUGGUGUAGCGGUGAAAUGCGCAGAUAUCAGGAGGAACACCGGUGGCGAAGGCGGAUCUCUGGGCCGUAACUGACGCUGAGGAGCGAAAGCAUGGGGAGCGAACAGG